rnacentral:rRNA from 1 species
GUCCACGCUGUAAACUAUGGGUACUAGAUGUCGGGAGCACUUAUCCUCCCGGUGUCGUAGCUAACGCGUUAAGUACCCCGCCUGGGGAUUACGGUCGCAAGAUUAAACUCAAAGAAUUGACGGGGCCCGCACAAGCGGUGGAGUAUGUGGUUUAAUUCGAUGCAACGCGAAACCUUAACCUGGGCUUGACAUCCGACGCUACUCCGUGAAAGCGGAGGUUCCCGCAAGGGACGUCGAGACAGGUGCUGCAUGGCUGUCGU